UGUGAGUAUGUGAAGUGAAGACUGUUGGGCAGGAUGAACAGCUGGCACUGCUCAACGUUGCAACAAAGAAGAGCAACACAAACUAGAAAAAGGACUCUGGGAAAUAGUCAGAAAACCUGAUUUACGAACUGUAGAGAGUGAAAUGCGCUCAAUAAGGAAUGUAGAAUGAAAUUAAAUGGGAUUAAAAAGCUGAAAAACGUACAAAACAAACAGACAAACACCAAAACUGAAAUGUUUUCCUGUGUGAAGAAAAAAACCCCACAGAUGGUUGCCUGGCUUGUGACGUAACGAGCGCAGCAACAGGCCAGUCUCGGUCCUCCUAUUGGUCAAUGCGCUUCGCUGUUCUACGCUGAUUGGUCGGUUCCCGCCAGACCUGAACUACUUAUUCUUGCUGGCGAGGCCAUUUUGUUGUGAGAGAGAGAGACGGAGGAGAGGAGAGGAGAGAGGAGUAAUCCGGGCUGCUAGUUUCGGGAAUUUAGAGGAUUUUUACACACCGUGUGAGGAACUUCUUCCCCCAGAGCUGCAGCAGAAAUAACCAGCCUGUAUCAGACGCCUGGCUUUCGCCAUCAGAACCCGGAGGAAGUCGAUCCGCGGCUUCCCAGUGCGCCGUGUGCUGGGGUGAACUGAUGUUCAGCUCGGCUUCACGACCAAACAUCGCUUGCUGGCACAUGAAAACCUCAGACACUGUGGGCCUAAAGCGUGCAGUGAGAAGUAGAUCGACUACUUCGAGGACCUGGAGCCCGAUUGGUGAGGAGAAAUUAAGAAAUAGAGACAUCUACGCACUCAGCUUCAACACAAAGAGGUGACAUCCAGUGUGU
rnacentral:lncRNA from 1 species